rnacentral:rRNA from 1 species
UACAGAGGUGGCAAGCGUUGUUCGGAAUUACUGGGCGUAAAGGGCUCGUAGGCGGCCAACUAAGUCAUACGUGAAAUCCCUCAGCUUAACUGGGGAACUGCGUGUGAUACUGGAUGGCUUGGAUUUGGGAGAGGGAUGCGGAAUUCCAGGUGUAGCGGUGAAAUGCGUAGAUAUCUGGAGGAAUACCGGUGGCGAAGGCGGCAUCCUGGACCGACAUUGACGCUGAGGAGCGAAAGCUAGGGGAGCAAACGGG